UAGGGAAUAUUGGGCAAUGGAGGCAACUCUGACCCAGCCAUGCCGCGUGCAGGAAGAAGGCGUUAUGCGUUGUAAACUGCUUUUGAUUGGGAACAAAUGACUUCUGCGGAAGUAGCUGAGUGUACCAAUAGAAUAAGCCACGGCUAACUACGUGCCAGCAGCCGCGGUAAUACGUAGGUGGCAAGCGUUGUCCGGAUUUAUUGGGUUUAAAGGGUGCGUAGGCGGCUUUGUAAGUCAGUGGUGAAAGCCGGUAGCUUAACUAUCGAAAUGCCAUUGAUACUGCAGAGCUUGAGUACAGUUGAGGUAGGCGGAAUUGACAGUGUAGCGGUGAAAUGCUUAGAUAUUGUCAAGAACUCCGAUUGCGAAGGCAGCUUACUAAAGUGUAACUGACGCUGAGGCACGAAAGUGCGGGGAUCAAACAGG
rnacentral:rRNA from 1 species